CCUACGGGCGGCAGCAGUGGGGAAUAUUGGACAAUGGGGGGAACCCUGAUCCAGCCAUGCCGCGUGUGUGAAGAAGGCCCUCGGGUUGUAAAGCACUUUCAGUGAGGAAGAACGCCUGGUGGUUAAUACCCAUCAGGAAAGACAUCACUCACAGAGGAAGCACCGGCUAACUCCGUGCCAGCAGCCGCGGUAAUACGGAGGGUGCGAGCGUUAAUCGGAAUUACUGGGCGUAAAGCGCGCGUAGGUGGCUUGAUAAGCCGGUUGUGAAAGCCCCGGGCUCAACCUGGGAACGGCAUCCGGAACUGUCAAGCUAGAGUGCAGGAGAGGAAGGUAGAAUUCCCGGUGUAGCGGUGAAAUGCGUAGAGAUCGGGAGGAAUACCAGUGGCGAAGGCGGCCUUCUGGACUGACACUGACACUGAGGUGCGAAAGCGUGGGUAGCAAACAGGAUUAGAUACCCCGGUAGUC
rnacentral:rRNA from 1 species